rnacentral:lncRNA from 1 species
UGGAGUGCAGACCCAUCACCCCUCACUGGGGCCCCCCAUGAGGCCUGCCUGACUGCAUGCCCCACCCGGGCCCAUGGCAGCGCACCUGGAAGCGGACGGCUGAGGACUUGUUGCAGUGCAUGGAGAUGGGCGCGAAGCUGUACAGGGCCUUCAGUACGUCGCGGUUGAAGGAGUUCCAGGGAACAGAGGAUCCCGAAGCCCCCCUGCAAGUUGGAGGAGACCCGUCAGCCCCGGGCCAUGCCACGCAGACGCUGCCAUCCAGCAGCUUUCGCCGCACCCACGUGUACACUGCGUCCACUCGUCUGUUCACUGCACCGUGCCAGGCAUGCUCUGGGGAACCGAGUCCCUGCCCUCAAGGAAUUGCCACCAUUGGCAGGAGAGACAGGCAGUGAGUGAGUGAGUCAACCAGGAAAUUCGUAUCAGGUACUGAUGAUGCUGUGAGGAAAAAUGAAACGGGACAAGCGGAUGGGGUGUUAUUGUGCCCAUUUUAUGGGUACAGAAACUGAGUCUCAGAGCAGGCAAGGGGAUGCCCCGUGGUGGCCACAGCAUCGGUGGCACAGCCUGAGUGCACCCAGCGUCCCGGCCAUUGUCUGGAAGCUGUCCCCAUGACCUCCAGCGAGAGCCUGGAGCCAAGGACUGCAAGGGAGGCCCUUUCCACUGCAGCCCCGCACCGUCCACCAGUCAUUUCUCCAACGUGGCUCUGAGGGGAGCAGGGACUCUAUAAGACAGGACCGUGACUAGAGGCCGCGACAACCUCCAGCCUCUCACGGCAACCCUACGGCCUGCCAUCGCAUGGGAGGGGCAGGGCAGGCACCCUCUGAGUCCCCACUGCCAGCUUUAAGCCCCUCGCUGGGUUGCUGCUCUUGGAGCUGGUGACCGUGGAGCCUCAGCCAUAGGAGGAAGAACAGCAGCAGCUUGGAGGAGCUGGGGCUGGAGAGAGCAAAGCUCCCCCGGCAGCAGCUCAGAUCCCAGCAGGUCAGGGGCCGGGACAUGACGCCCUGGCCACCCUUGCCCCUCCAGGCUCCCCGCUGUUUGUGAAGCUGCUGUGGGCCUGGGGAUUUCAUCUGGCUGGUGGGGAAGAAAGGCAAUCUUUACUCUAUGGCAGAACAAAGGGACUGGGCAAAGCUUGGCGUGGCACUUACACCAGCUGCCGCCCCCUCCUCCCGUGCAGACAAAGAGCAUGGGACAGUUCUGCCCAGAGACGAAACCUGGCACCUGUUGGCCAGGACGCGUUUUUGCCAGCAUUGUUCUCUGGGCCGGAUUCCUCCUUUCCCAGCUUUUCUCAUCCAUCCCGCCCCCGUCAGAUCGGGACGAUUGCCCUCCUGUGUGAGUUCCUGUCCCUCCCCACCCUCUGCCACCACAGACAUCAAAAGGGAACUGAGUCCGACCCUGUGUAGAAUCUGUUCUCCUCUUUCACCUGGGGAAGGAAAUCGAAUUUCAAAGGCCACUGUGUCUUGGAUCAGCAGGCGAGGGCUUGUCAGAGUGUGAGAAGCUCAGGUCCACCUGGGGAGCUGCCCUCCCCUUUGAUCCCACCUGGUGCUGUGAUGUGGCCACUGCCAAGAGGACGACAUGGGCCAGGGAAGCCACAGAACUGCCCACGGGGACGCUGGCACCGAGGGCCUCAACCUGCAGAACGGCCAUCUGAGAUGUCCGCGGUGCUCACCAGGCCUGGCAGCCCCGAACGCCCUGGGACGUGGCGUCAGUUCCGCCGCCGUGAAGCCAGAUUGGGCAGGGAAUAUGCAGUCUCCUCGCUGGAUGCCCGGCAAGACCCUCCCAUCCCUGGCCCCGGGGCCGCGCCUGCAGAAUGGGGCUGAUGGUGGGGACUUGCCUGGGGUGCUCCACCUGCAGAGCCCUCUGUUUGCGAGCCCACUCAGUCACUGCACAGGUGCUUAGCCGAGAGGCGGCACAGUCGGGGUUGGCACCUGCACCCAUACCAGCCCUGCCUCCUGUUCGCUGUGUGGCCUGAGUGGCUGGACCUCACUGUAUCUCCUGGUGGGAUUGCUCAGAGGUCUCAGCAAGGCUUGGUGUGGUUAGGAUGAGUUAUUAGAGCAGUGCUGAGCUGUGGCAAGCACCCGACAUCAGCCACUGCUGUGAUAUACUGAGCACCUCCUCUAGAGAGAAUAAAGGACUGACAAAGCU